UUACUGUUUACACAGUACGACAUGGCUAAAAUGGUUGUUCGAUAUUGUAUUAUUGUUUUAUGGAUUUUUUGUUAUUUAGACCGCAAGGCAAAGUAGAAAUGACACAGACAGACAGUGAUUUUGUUGUUCAAGAUUAAAUUAUGUUGGUGUCGGGCAGAAAGUGCAACAAAUUUUGAGAAAACAGCCAACUGUGUUUGUUGUUAUUUGAAUUAGCAUUAUUAAUGAGGAUCUGAUGGUUCAUAACUGCAACUAUUACCUCAAAUGCCCAAUAACUGUGACAGAAUCAGUUUACUUCUAUGCACACCCGCAAUUCACUGCUUCAUAAAAAUGUGUUUUUUGUAAUCAUUGCAAAUUAUUUUCAUUUAUCUGUUAACUUCUUCAUUUAUUCACAGAUUAGCAAAGGCCAAAGGGACAGCCCACAAAUAUAGAAUGCACCACAUUACCACAUAUUCAAAUAUUUCAAAACAGAUGUUGAACCUGUUCAAAGUAAACUCUUGAAAGGAAUGCUGCAUACUUCAAUUUUGUUCAACCUCAUGAGGUCUGAACAGGCAAUGAGACGGCAGUUAGGCAUCAACGUCUGCACACAUCAGUGAGACCUGUGAGUCAAGUGACAACAUUUCAGUUGUUUGCACAUUGUUUCCCCUUGAGGAGAACAUCAAAACCAGAAAUGGAUUAACUUUACUUUCUGUUCCAUUUGGAUCCGAAAAUCGAUGUGAGUCAACGAUGGAUAACACUACCUUUAAUUAAGUCAAACAUGGUAAUCGUGGAGGAAUCUUUUGGCUCCGUCAGUAGGUGGCUAAAUCAAGUUGUCCCCCAGCCGCCAGAUGACGCGAGUGUCUUUGACAGGACGAAAUAUUCGCCAUUCUGUAAUUCUGUUCCGAAACGCCAAGUGAAAAGGUAUUCCAAAUUCGUUACGGAAUUGCGGUGUCGAUCUACAUUUUCAAUUCGAUCAACAUUGAAAUUUAAUGGCAUUCUUGCAUAUAAUUUCCACUUGGCCAAAUAAUCGAUCACGUGGACUGAAACUGCUUUCCAUUUUGCAGAAAUAUCGUCCGUUGUUAGCUGUUCCUGUCGGAUGUACGUAUCAUCUCACGCCGAACACUACAGAGUUGGUGUUCAGGUUGGAGAUCCUGUUGCUUAACUGUUGCAGAUUGUGAGAACUCGAAAAAUUCGGAGCCCCAUGGCUGGCAUCAUGGCCACAGUGGUUUUGUUGCAGCCAGCUGGUGAAAGGUGUGAUCGAGUCAAGUUGAGUUGCAGCAUGCUGCCUGCAGUUUAUUGAGCUGGUGUUAUCCUGAAGUGUCAUUGCCGGAAGACUUUUUGAAAUGGACUUGGUGAUACUUAAACUAUGCCUGUGUAGUUCAAUGUGCAGUGGUUUUGCCGCCUGUUUCCAGUUGAGAGAUGUGAUUAUGCAGCUGAUACAGGAGUGAAGAAAGAGAACUGAAGUAGCUGUGCUGGUGUUCUCCUGAAAUUGCUGUGCCACAGGAGUUGCAGAUAGUGUUUGGAUUCUCAUAGAAGUUUAUUUAAAGAGUCUGGAGAUAAUCAGCCACUUCUGCUAAUAGGCUAACUUGUGUG